ACGAACGCUGGCGGCAGGCCUAACACAUGCAAGUCGAGCGCCCCGCAAGGGGAGCGGCGGACGGGUGAGUAACACGUGGGAAUUUUCCUCAAGGUACGGAACAACUCAGGGAAACUUGGGCUAAUACCGUAUGAUGCAGAGAUGCCAAAGAUUUAUCGCCUUGGGAUAAGCCCGCGUCAGAUUAGGUAGUUGGUGAGGUAACGGCUCACCAAGCCUGUGAUCUGUAGCUGGUCUGAGAGGACGAUCAGCCACAUUGGGACUGAGACACGGCCCAAACUCCUACGGGAGGCAGCAGUGGGGAAUCUUGCGCAAUGGGCGAAAGCCUGACGCAGCCAUGCCGCGUGAAUGAUGAAGGUCUUAGGAUUGUAAAGUUCUUUCGCUCGCGACGAUGAUGACGGUAACGAGAGAAGAAGCCCCGGCUAACUUCGUGCCAGCAGCCGCGGUAAU
rnacentral:rRNA from 1 species